CUACUUCAUUUGGCAGUUCCUGGACCUUCCACGUUCUGAAGUGGGGUUCCUACCAAAGCAAUCACCACCUCGUAAAAGGUACAACAGCUGGUCUUUUUAUUGAAGCGAACAGCAAUACCAGCUGGAGAACAUCCCUUUGUUUCUCCUAGAUGAGCAGGAAGCAUGUGGGGGGGUUGAAAGAAGGCAGAGAGAUCAAUAAAACCCUCCUGGCUGUAAAAAAAGGAGCUGUUUCCAGGGCAACAAGGGAGGAUGAAAUGUUAUGGAUUUGAAGGAGACAGCAUUUGACUAAUACAAAGAAAGAGAGUCUGUGGAAUUUCGACAUGAGGGAACGUCUCAUGCUAGAGUUUCUCCAAGGAUGGCCAUCACUUCUCGGGAGCGCAGGUGGCCGGAGCCCAAGGCUGGGGAAGAGUGAAAUUUUUUCAGUGAGAUGGGAGCUGGGGCCUCCUCCGUACUCCUCCUGGAGAAGACAGAAGAACUAGGUCAUGUGCAAAUUUUAAAUCCAGGGACAGGGUGAUUAUAGAAACAUAUGUUGAGAUGAAGCCUCCAGAAGGCUGAGUCCCCGAGUCACCACCAGGAGCAGUGCCUCUUGCUGAAUGGAACAGUCAUAAUAGUAAGAAGUACACUUGUGCUGUGUUGAGUGCCUGAAUACGAUCCAGCCCAUCCAGAUUGACCGUGUUCAUAAAAGGGUUUAAUUUUUGGCACGUGAGACGUGUGACUCAGCACUGGGUGAGCACUUGAGGCUUGAAAUUGGAGAAAGGAGAAGGAAAACCGAGUGGACUUCAUCUUCGGGUAAGGUAGUCAUAUACCAAGUCUCCUCCCUAUGGGGGACCUCGGUGACAG